AGCAAUCUGCCUUGGAGUGGGGAAUAACGGUUGGAACAGCCGCUAAUACCGCAUGAUGCGUCUGGGAGGCAUCUCUCUGGACGCCAAAGAUUUAUCGCUCUGAGAUGAGCUCGCGUCUGAUUAGCUAGUUGGCGGGGCAACGGCCCACCAAGGCGACGAUCAGUAGCCGGACUGAGAGGUUGGCCGGCCACAUUGGGACUGAGACACGGCCCAGACUCCUACGGGAGGCAGCAG
rnacentral:rRNA from 1 species